rnacentral:rRNA from 1 species
CCCUUAGAUGUUCUGGGCCGCACACGCGCUACACUGAAGGAGGCAGCGUGUACUCCUGGAUCGAAAGAUUUGGGUAACCCGCGAAUCUCCUUUGUGCUAGGGAUUGAGAUUUGCAAUUAUCCUUCAUGAACGAGGAAUUCCCAGUAAGUGCAAGUCAUAAGCUUGCGCUGACUACGUCCCUGCCCUUUGUACACACCGCCCGUCGCUCCUACCGAUUGGAUGAUCCGGUGAAAUCUUCGGACCGUGACGAAGCAGUUGGUCUCUGACAGCUACGUCGUGGAAAGUCGCUUAAACCUUAUCAUCUAGAGGAAGGAGAANUCGUANCA